rnacentral:miRNA from 1 species
AUUAGGUUGGUGCAAAAGUAAUUGCAGUUUUUGCCAUUGCUUUUAAUGGCAAAAACUGCAAUUACU